rnacentral:rRNA from 1 species
CGAGUAUGCUAUUGGGUCCGACUAAGCCAUGCGAGUCGAGAGGGUUCGGCCCUCGGCGUACUGCUCAGUAACACGUGGAUAAUCUGACCUUAGGUGGAGCAUAACCUCGGGAAACUGAGAAUAAUACUCCAUAGAUCUUUGAGGCUGGAAUGCGCUUAGAUUAAAAGCUCCGGCGCCUAAGGAUGAGUCUGCGGACUAUCAGGUUGUAGUCAGGGUAAUGACCUGACUAGCCUACGACGGAUACGGGUUGUGAGAGCAAUAACCCGGAGAUGAUAUCUGAGACACGAUAUCAGGCCCUACGGGGCGCAGCAGGCGCGAAACCUUCACAAUGUGCGAAAGCGCGAUGAGGGGAUCCCAAGUGCUUGCACGUAAGUGUAAGCUGUUUCUUUGUUUAAAAAGCAGAGAGAGUAAGGGCUGGGUAAGACGGGUGCCAGCCGCCGCGGUAAUACCUGCAGCUCAAGUGGUGGCCGCUAUUAUUGGGCCUAAAACGUCCGUAGCCUGCUGGGUAAAUGCCUGGGUAAAUCGUGUCGCUUAACGAUACGAAUUCCGGGUAGACUGCCUAGCUUGAGACCGGAAGAAGUUAGAGGUACUCCUGGGGUAGGGGUGAAAUCCUGUAAUCCUGGGGGGACCACCGAUGGCGAAGGCAUCUAGCUGGAACGGGCCUGACGGUGAGGGACGAAACCCAGGGGAGCGAGCCGGAUUAGAUACCCGGGUAGUCCUGGGCGUAAAUGAUGUGGGCUUGGUGUGAGUGCAUCGACGAGGUGCCCUUGUGCCGUAUGGAAGCCGUUAAGCCCACCG